rnacentral:lncRNA from 1 species
AUGUACAGUUGGAAUAUUCUGCCCCGUGUUUUUGCCCCGCAGGUUGUCUCUGCCUACGUGGCCCUCUCCCAGUUCUCCCAGAACGUGGGUGACAGAGAGAAGUGGCUGCACUGUGAGCAGAUGGCCAUUCAGAAAAGCAGCCUGUGUUGGUUCUCCAGGGAGGGGUUGUUGGCCACAGCCCAGCUCAUGCAGGCCUUGGCCUACACCAAGCUCUGCCUUGGCCAUCUUGACUUCUCCAUCAAGUUGGGAUUGCUGUGUCGUCCUUUUGGGGAGUGUCUGCGUUUCAUUCAACACUAUGAGCACAGCUGCGUUCUAACCUCGCAGAGCAAUGUCAUGCUGGGGGUCCACUCCUCUCUGGCCAUGUGGUUUGCCCAGGGCUCGCAGUGGAACCUAUUUGAGCACCACUUCUCCAAGGCUCGCCAGUUGGUGAAAAGAACCAAUGCCUCACUGUUUGGUUCACACGGCUUUGUUCGAUUCCUGGAGUGCCACGUGCUCAUGUUACAGAAAAGGCCAGAGGGUCUCUUCAUGCGUAUUCCCCCAGAGACUCAUAGCCACACCCUUAAGUACUUUAAGGAGUUCUUCUCUCGAUGUGUGACCUGCCCUGUCUAUCACCAGUGGGUCUCUGAGCUUAAAGCCUCUGUAAUGAGAUAUGGAAAGAGAGAAUCCAUGUCCAUGACCAACAUCAUAGGACCUUUUGACACCUGCUUCACCAGGAUUUGGAUAGAGGGAGACUUCCCGGAGGAAGACAUCUCCUUUGAAGGAAAUUUAGGAAUACAGAGAUUUGACAGAGUGGCUGAUGUCAAGGAGAAUAAGGAUGAAGAAGAAAUUCAAGAAUGUAUAUGUUAA